UUUUUUUUUUUUUCCUUUCCUAAGGUGAAGGUCAAGAGUAUGCACCUCUUAGCAAGGCUGGGGACUAACCCAACACUUUUCCAACAGGAAAACUGCUCUACCUGCAUACAUAACCAUUAAGGUGCUCUCAAACUUUCAUGCACACAGGACACUGUGCUUUAGGACAGAGCCUUUAUGGGGAAUCAGUCUAAUGGCUCCACUGUCAGGAAUCUGGGUUGAAUUAAGGAUGUAGCCCAUGAGUUAGGCUGAGGAUAGGCUCCAGGAAGCUGUUACAAUGGGAUGCCUGUCUGAACAGGUUAGGGGGAGUCUGAGAUAAAGACCAGGAACGCAUGCCUCUCCUAUUGCCUCUUCAGAACAGUACACGGCACCUUCAUCUGUCCAAUUACUCAAGGCAGAAACGGAGGAGUUGACUGUGACUCCUCCCUGCUCCAAAACUACUCCCCACUCAUAGCCAGACCAUCAGCAAGUCUUUGUAAACUUCUCUCUAAAACAUACCUUGGAAUUAUUUUCUUACCUCUAUCUUCAUUGCUACUGCCUUAGUCCAAGCUACCACAUCUACUGCUUGGACCCGUGCAUCCGCCUCCUAAAUAGUCUUGCUACUUUCACUCUUAAGCAGCUCCCAUGUAGUCUGGGCUCAGCGGUGGAGAUCAUCUUAAAAGUAAUUCAUAUCAGUGCACGACAUUGCUUAAAACACUUCAAUGGUUUCUUACGUUACCUGGACUAAAGCUCAACCCCCUGACCCUGGUCUACAAGAACCUGUAUGAUUUGGUUCCUGCCCACAUCACCAAUGUCAUCUUCUGCCACUGUCCCCUUCACACUGCUCUGGCCAAAGCAGUCUGGAUUUCACUUCUUACACUUGAGAACAUUUUGCCUUGUUUACUUCUGUUUUGCUUUUGCUUGUCUUUUACUAGACUGUAAACCCUACAGGGGCAAAACCAUGGCUCUUUGUCUCAGCACUGCAUCCCCAGUAACUGCUGCGGGGCCUAGUAGAUGCUUGAUAAAUACUUGCUGAAAGAAUAACAACAGGAGUUUCCGUUGUGGCGCAUUGGUCUGUUUAAUAACAUUAUUUCAUUCAAGAGACAUUGGAGAGAGAUUUCUCUAGUCAGUUGGGCUGGCUGGUAUAUAUAGUUAGCUCUGACUUUUACAUGGUUCAUUUUAAAAUCAAAACAUAUGCAAACCCUCAGCUAUACAUGGUCAGGAUAAUUUUACCCAUCUUUUUAUCCCCAGGGGGAAGUAAUUAUAAUAAUAUUCCACAGAAAAAUCUUCAUACCCAAGCAGCUGCUUUUUUUUUUUCACCCUCAUGAUGAGGUGAUCAUAAGCAGAAUUUACAAAGCCUGCAUUAAUGUUACUUUAUCGUUGGGUCCCAGGAUGCUAAGCUCUAUGUGAUAUAGCCUCAACGUCUAUGGGAAGAAGACAGAAAUAAUAGAAAAUGCAUGUGCAGAGCUUCAGUGGGCCGAUAUGAUAGUAAGACCCCUUUUCUAGCAAGGGUGGCUAAGAUCCAUGACAUAAGUAGAAUGUCCACGUCACCAUCCAGUAAGUGACAGACCCAAGAUUCAAAGUUAGGUGUCUGUCUGUGAAGCACCAUGAGCAGUGUACUGCAGUAUGCUUCAGAGUGCCCAUAAGCAAGGAGUCUGGAGCAGGUAAGACUGUUCCAUUAGCAUCUAAGAAUAAGCCAUAUUUUGUAACUCAUGAUGAGGCAUUCAUAGAUAGAAGUAUAUCCUUCAACUUUGCUAUUCUUACAUUCCCUUAAAAAUGCCGAAAAUAUAAGCAAAACCCACAAACACUGAAAUAAAACUAGAUUCACAAAAUGCAAACCCGUCUAUAAGAAGGUCUCCAAUCUAUGCAUUUUUGCUCCCUUCUUUUAGGGCACAGACCUCUGGCAGGUGGUCACCAUGAUUUGCAUUUGUAGGUUUCGAAAAGUCAAGGUCUAGAAGUCCUUGGGACGUGAAGGACUUGUCCAAAUGCAGUGAGCUAACCUGAGAAGAACACGGGGGCCAGAAGAGCAAGGCUCAAUAUAAAGCAUCCUUUAUAAUUCUGACUGCUUUUAAAGGAAUAGUUGGUGGAUUCUGAAAGUUUAUGGUCUUGCCAACUCAAAUUUUUCAAAUAUACCAUGGAAGUGCAUUCCAGAAUUGUAGGCUGAUGAAAAAUCAUGCCAAAAAGGAAAAAUGAAAAUGCCAAAAUCCUCAGCUCAGCCUUGCCAAGCAUAUCCACCUGCAAUAUGGUGGCAAAAAGCUACUGGGCCAAUGGUAGGAUAAUCUCUAAGUGAUGCCAAAUGGGAAACAGCUUCUUCACCAUUAGGAAAAGGGAUGCUUCUGGGCUGUCAUCACAUUCUUCUUGGUCUUCAGACCUAAUGCAUAAAUUAACCUCUCCCAAU
rnacentral:lncRNA from 9 species